rnacentral:rRNA from 1 species
CUACGUGCCAGCAGCCGCGGUAAUACGGGGGGUGCGAGCGUUAAUCGGAAUAACUGGGCGUAAAGGGCACGCAGGCGGUGACUUAAGUGAGAUGUGAAAGCCCCGAGCUUAACUUGGGAAUUGCAUUUCAUACUGGGUCGCUAGAGUACUUUAGGGAGGGGUAGAAUUCCACGUGUAGCGGUGAAAUGCGUAGAGAUGUGGAGGAAUACCGAAGGCGAAGGCAGCCCCUUGGGAAUGUACUGACGCUCAUGUGCGAAAGCGUGGGGAGCAAACAGGAUUAGAUACCCUGGUAGUCCACGCUGUAAACGAUGUCGAUUUGGGGAUUGGGCUUUGAGCUUGGUGCCCGUAGCUAACGUGAUAAAUCGACCGCCUGGGGAGUACGGCCGCAAGGUUAAAACUCAAAUGAAUUGACGGGGGCCCGCACAAGCGGUGGAGCAUGUGGUUUAAUUCGAUGCAACGCGAAGAACCUUACCUACUCUUGACAUCCAUGGAAUCUUGUAGAGAUAUGAGAGUGCUUCGGGAAC